AGCAGCCGCGGUAAUUCCAGCUCCAAUAGCGUAUAUUAAAGUUGUUGCAGUUAAAAAGCUCGUAGUUGAAUUUCGAGAUCAGUACGCUGGUCGUGCCUUCGGUAUGCACUGGUGUCACUGGUUUCUCCCUUCUGAAGAACCGUCAUGCCAUUCAGUUGGUGUGGCGGGGAAUCAGGACUGUUACUUUGAAAAAUUAGAGUGUUUAAAGCAGGCUCGCGCUUGAAUACAUUAGCAUGGAAUAAUGAAAUAGGACGUUUGACCCUAUUUUGUUGGUUUCUAGGAUCGACGUAAUGAUUAAUAGGGAUAGUUGGGGGCAUUAGUAUUCAAUUGUCAGAGGUGAAAUUCUUGGAUUUAUUGAAGACUAACUACUGCGAAAGCAUUUGCCAAGGAUGUUUUCAUUAAUCAAGAACGAAAGUUAGGGGAUCGAAGACGAUCAGAUACCGUCGUAGUCUUAACCAUAAACUAUGCCGACUAGGGAUCGGAUGAUGUUUAAUUUUUUAAUGUACUUCA
rnacentral:rRNA from 1 species